GGGGCGUUAGCUCAGUUGGUAGAGCGCUUGGUUCGCAAUCAAGAGGUCGGGAGUUCAACUCUCCCACGCUCCACCA
rnacentral:tRNA from 1 species